rnacentral:piRNA from 1 species
UCCUAAGCAUGUGGUGUGUAUGGUGUCU